rnacentral:rRNA from 1 species
GAUGAACGCUGGCGGCGUGCCUAAUACAUGCAAGUCGAGCGAACGGACGAGAAGCUUGCUUCUCUGAUGUUAGCGGCGGACGGGUGAGUAACACGUGGAUAACCUACCUAUAAGACUGGGAUAACUUCGGGAAACCGGAGCUAAUACCGGAUAAUAUUUUGAACCGCAUGGUUCAAAAGUGAAAGACGGUCUUGCUGUCACUUAUAGAUGGAUCCGCGCUGCAUUAGCUAGUUGGUAAGGUAACGGCUUACCAAGGCAACGAUGCAUAGCCGACCUGAGAGGGUGAUCGGCCACACUGGAACUGAGCCACGGUCCAGACUCCUACGGGAGGCAGCAGUAGGGACUCUUCCGCAAUGGGCGAAAGCCUGACGGAGCAACGCCGCGUGAGUGAUGAAGGUCUUCGGAUCGUAAAACUCUGUUAUUAGGGAAGAACAGAUGUGUAAGUAACUGUGCACAUCUUGACGGUACCUAAUCAGAAAGCCCCGGCUAACUACGU